CGAAACCUAUACUCGGAUAUCUUUCAUUUUAAUAUUAAUUUUUUAAUAAAUUUUAAUAUAAAUAGAAAAGACAGAACGGAAAAUAUAAUGUGCACAAUCGGCCCUAAUUUUGCAAUUCACAUUCCUCUUCUCAAUCUCACAUCCACCGGUCGCCAACCAGAUUUCCUUUUCUCUUCAUCAAAUCAAAUCAUCGUCGUCAUCGCUUCAGCCAUUUUCUUUUCUCUAUGUUCAUUAUUAUCAUCAUCAUCAUCAGUCGCUGUGUUCCUCUUCUUAGCGCUGCUGCGACCUCCAACCCUUCUCAAUCGUUCAUCUUCAACUGGUGCAAAAUUGAGUGGAUUACCUUCCACCUCUAAGCCCGUCUCUGCUUCUCAUUUGUCAUAUUCCAUGGUUCCUGUGGAGCUAGGUGGGGGUUGUCUUUGAUGGCAUUGCAUGGUGGAUUUGGGUGGGCCGCGGUCUUUGAUGCCAUUACAAUUCAAAAUUAAUUGUAAUUUUCGUGCAUCCACUUCCUAUAAUAGGUUAUUAAUUUAUUGAAUUUUGUUGGUAGUAUUUGCAACGCCUCUAUAUUAGGGUCUAUAAGCUACCUGCCUGAAUUUCAUUAACUAAGAAAAAAAAAUGGUUCAUCGGUUUUAAUUUGUGAUUGAAUUGUAGUGUCCAAUUUUUUUUUCAUUUUUUAAUCAUAAUUCAAAAGACAAUCCGAGCUUCAAACCUGAAAUCCGAAAACAUGAAUUUUUUCGGGUUGAAUCCAAACCAGACGCAAAAAUGAGGUUUAUAUCGGGAUCCAGUAUAAGAAAAUGACAUCUGAGUUCGGAACCCGAAAGGCUAAUCCCAGAUCCAGACUCGGCUUUUGCCAUCCCUAGUUAUAACCAGCUGACCACUGCCACAUUACCACAUCACUAAGAGUUCUGCUAUCUAGCCAUAAGAAAGAAAGGACGGUAGAAACGGCAGCAUGUGCUACCGUUUCACGCGUCCUUCUUACUCUUCCCCAUGGCCCACAAAUACAUUAAAAUAAUGAUUAAAAAAUGGCGCAAAAAUAAUGCUUGCGUUCAAUGAAAUAAACAAUGGCCCGUAAUAAAGUUUAGACUAAUGAUUAAAAAUAGAGGUAUUUGUUCGAUAGCACUCAGCUCUGCUAUACUCGUGGAGUUGUUCCACAGUUGAAAAAAAAAUAAUGUGGUCAUUUCUUUUUCUCAAGCACUGGAACUCUGAUUUUGAUAGCAAAAAAUAAAAUAAAAUAAAACCAGCAGCUUACUAUUUGAAAGCUGAGAAAUCUGCAUUCGAUGCCGACGAGAUUGGUGUUUGGUGCUGACGACCACCAUGCCAACAGAGGCAGCUUUGCAGUUGAUACAUAUAAGUGGCACAAAUUGGUCAUUGACCACUGAGAAGGCAAGGAAUGGAAAUUGUUCAGGUUUCUUUACAGCUGUGGAAUUAAGCAUUCAGACUCUAUUUGAGACAACAAAAACCAUAUUGCAACUUUGGGUUAACAGAAUUAAUUUGUCUACAACACUGACAAUAAGAAACUCGGAUCUUUCUACAUCCUCAUCAGUUCUCUCCCUAAUUACUACAACUUGCACUAAGACUUGAUGAAUGAGUACAAAUCGUCCUGUAACUAUCCAUAUCAAUAGCAGGGCAUUGAUUAGACGUGUCCAGAAAAUCUUCUUUAACUACAUAUUAGAACCUAUUUAACUAUCAGAACCACAUCAACAACAUCAUUGUUGACUGCAAGGUUGUGGGCUUUGUUCUAUUUUUUUCGAUAAGAGAUCGUUGAAAAUGGUCGAUGUUGUGGUGGCAGUCAAAGGAAAAGAUAAUGUUUGGUUGAAAGAGAGAUAACGAGGCCGCAAGAGUGAGGGAGCAAGAGGGACCUCUGAGACCUCUCAUUGUUGCUGCGUGGUGAGGGAGAACGAAGUUGAGACUGACCUUGCGUUGAGACAGGAGAGAGAGAUCGAGAAUCUUGUUGCCUGGUGAGAGAGACGCGUGAGAUUUUUACUGGAUUUUUGCGUGCGUGUGUGGUGUUUGCACAUAUGAACAUGUGGCUUUUAUACGGAAAGUUUUGUGUUCUCCUUUGUGUUAAUACCAUUUUCCUUUUUUAAGUAUUAUUUUAAUAUUUUAAACGCCAAAUGGUAGAGUGAGAAGGACGUGUGAAAUGACAGCAUGAGCCGUUGUUUCUGUCUUCCUUCUCACUUCUUUUUAUUCGUUUACCAUUUUUCACAUCACUAAUGGCUAAAUAAACGCAGACUAUUUACAACAAUUGGAUGUUCUUAAAUGCAAGAACAUAAGACUUCGAAAAGCACUUCUUGCCUUGGAUAAAAU
rnacentral:lncRNA from 1 species